rnacentral:lncRNA from 1 species
UAUCUUUUUUUUUUUUAAACAGUGCUCAGUCCUCUAUUGGAGAUUCUGCCCCCUCUGGGACAGAUGUCCACGCUGCCCGCGACUCCUGAGCACACUCCCAUGGCGGGUGGCGUGCUCUGGGUGGGUGUGCGGCAGUGGCCGGUCAGGGUGUAGGGAAGGGGACUGAGAGGGGACCUUGGUGAGCUUGCAUUUGUGUGGGGAUACACGUGAAGGGGUGUCUGAUCCCAGGACUCAGGGCCUCUUCCUCCUGGGGGGCACACAGAGCCCCUUCCCUUCCUCCUCGGGGAACAGCCCCGGAAUGGGGCCUUCCCUUGGUGCCUCUAGGUCCUGCCCUCCAGCCCAUGUCCCCAGAAGGUGGUCUUUCCUUGGAGGGGUCAGAGACUAUAGCCCAGGGCUCUGGGGUCACUGUGGGAACAUCUGCCUCAGCUCGGCACGCACUUCUCCUGGCCUGUUUCUUCCACUGGGAACUGGGACCCUAACCCCUCAAAGGGGGAUCCCUGAGCGAGGGUCAUGGGCAGGGAGCUGGUAUGGACGGGUGUGUGCGGGGAGGGGUGACUGGCGGGGGCUGGGGUGUCAGGGGGCUGGGGUGGCCUAGUCGUCUUUAUCCUUGGCGCCAUGUUUGAGGAUGCGGGUGAACUCCACGUAGUUGAAGUUGCCUUUCUUAUCAAUGGGUGCCUCCCGGUACAUCUCGUCCACUUCCUCAUCUGUGAAGCG